rnacentral:rRNA from 1 species
GAUUUCCUAGUAACGGCGAGUGAAGAGGAAAGAGCUCAAAGUUGGAAACUGUUUGGCUUAGCUAAACCGUAUUGUAAACUGUAGAAACAUUUUCCUGGCACGCCGGAUUAAUAAGUCCUUUGGAACAAGGCAUCAUGGAGGGUGAGAAUCCCGUCUUUGAUCCGAGUAGUUGUCUUUUGUGAUAUGUUUUCAAAGAGUCAGGUUGUUUGGGAAUGCAGCCUAAAUUGGGUGGUAAAUCUCACCUAAAGCUAAAUAUUUGCGAGAGACCGAUAGCGAACAAGUACCGUGAGGGAAAGAUGAAAAGAACUUUGAAAAGAGAGUUAAACAGUAUGUGAAAUUGUUAAAAGGGAACCGUUUGGAGCCAGACUGGUUUGACUGUAAUCAACCUAGAAUUCGUUCUGGGUGCACUUGCAGUCUAUACCUGCCAACAACAGUUUGAUUUGGAGGAAAAAAUUAGUAGGAAUGUAGCCUCUCGAGGUGUUAUAGCCUACUAUCAUACUCUGGAUUGGACUGAGGAACGCAGCGAAUGCCUUUAGGCGAGAUUGCUGGGUGCUUUCGCUAAUAAAUGUUAGAAUUUCUGCUUCGGGUGGUGCUAAUGUUUAAAGGAGGAACACAUCUAGUAUAUUUUUUAUUCGCUUAGGUUGUUGGCUUAAUGACUCUAAAUGACCCGUCUUGAAACACGGACCAAGGAGUCCACCAUAAGUGCAAGUAUUUGAGUGACAAACUCAUAUGCGUAAGGAAACUGAUUGAUACGAAAUCUUUUGAUGGCAGUAUCACCCGGCGUUGACGUUUUAUACUGAACUGACCGAGGUAAAGCACUUAUGAUGGGACCCGAAAGAUGGUGAACUAUGCCUGAAUAGGGUGAAAGCCAGAGGAAAACUCUGGUGGAGGCUCGUAGCGAUUCUGACGUGCAAAUCGAUCGUCAAAUUUGGGUAUAGGGGGCGAAAGACUAAUCGAACCCAUCUAGUAGCUGGGUUCUGCG